rnacentral:rRNA from 1 species
GACAGAGGAUGCAAGCGUUAUCCGGAAUGAUUGGGCGUAAAGCGUCUGUAGGUGGCUUUUUAAGUCCGCCGUCAAAUCCCAGGGCUCAACCCUCGGACAGGCGGUGGAAACUACCAAGCUGGAGUACGGUAGGGGCAGAGGGAAUUUCCGGUGGAGCGGGUGAAAUGCGCAGAUAUCAGGAGGAACACCGAUGGCGAAGGCAGGUCUCUGGGCAUUAACUGACGCUGAGGAGCGAAAGCAUGGGGAGCGAACAG